rnacentral:rRNA from 1 species
AACGAACGCUGGCGGCAGGCUUAACACAUGCAAGUCGAACGCCCCGCAAGGGGAGUGGCCGACGGGUGAGUAACGCGUGGGAACAUACCCUUUUCUACGGAAUAGCUCUGGGAAACUGGAAUUAAUACCGUAUACGCCCUACGGGAGAAAGAUUUAUCGGGGAAGGAUUGGCCCGCGUUGGAUUAGCUAGUUGGUGGGGUAAAGGCCUACCAAGGCGACGAUCCAUAGCUGGUCUGAGAGGAUGAUCAGCCACAUUGGGACUGAGACACGGCCCAAACUCCUACGGGAGGCAGCAGUGGGGAAUAUUGGACAAUGGGCGCAAGCCUGAUCCAGCCAUGCCGCGUGAGUGAUGAAGGCCUUAGGGUUGUAAAGCUCUUUCACCGAUGAAGAUAAUGACGGUAGUCGGAGAAGAAGCCCCGGCUAACUUCGUG